rnacentral:rRNA from 1 species
GUGGGGAAUAUUGGGCAAUGGGGGAAACCCUGACCCAGCGACGCCGCGUGGGUGAAGAAAUCCUUCGGGAUGUAAAGCCCUGUUGUAUGGGAAGAGCGGAAGACGGUACCAUACGAGGAAGCCCCGGCAAACUACGUGCCAGCAGCCGCGGUAAUACGUAGGGGGCAAGCGUUGUCCGGAAUUACUGGGCGUAAAGCGCACGCAGGCUGAAUUAUAAGUCGGUAGUCAAAGGCGGAGGCUCAACCUCUGUAUAUCUAUCGAUACUGUAAAUCUGGAGUAUGUGAGAGGGAAGCGGAAGUCCCGGUGUAGCGGUGAAAUGCGUAGAUAUCGGGAGGAACACCAGUGGCGAAGGCGGCUUCCUGGCACAAUACUGACGCUCAUGUGCGAAAGCUAGGGCAGCGAACGGGAUUAGAUACCCCGGUAGUCC